GCCUCACUGGAUCUUUGAUCUGAAACUCCACAAUUUUUUUGCUGCAUAUGGAAAUCUUCGUCCUGCCUCAAAGAUGCCCGAGCUGAAUUCUGACACACGUCUAACACUACACGAGUCUUGACACGUGGAGCAGCGCAGGUAACUGUUUGUUUCGGACAACAGCUGGAACAAUGCACCAUUCCUUUUUGCGCUGGUGCUUUCCCUGAACAUGUUUCGGGGGUAUCCACACCAAUGCUACUGACGCCGUCAGAGCCAUUUACUUUCGCGAGGAGGAGAGAAAUGCGGUCUAACACCUCUACAAGCAAAUCUUUCCGGUCCUUCUUUUGUGGUGACCUGCGUGGAAACGAAUUCCUAUGUUUGCAUGGGAGAGGCGAGUGGGACUGCUGACGGCGACUGAUGGUACUUGACGAACUCUCCGCACUGGCCGACUUCACAGAUCGGGAACGAACAGCAGGCGUCGUUGCACGCGCCUCUCUUCUCCCGAACGUACAGUUUCCUACACCAUUGCAGACGCGACCCGAGCGAGGUAAACAGCCGCUCAUUUGUGUGGCGGAAGGCACUCCGUAGUAGGCCUGCAUCGUGAGCAAACUGCCAGCGGUUCUCACGAAAUGCAAAGGCAGCGACACCCACGUGCCCCGCCCGUUGGUGAAGAGCUCAACUGUGACGGGUUUCCUGGACACUAAGCUGCCGUACUUCCACGUAGGAAUUGUGUUACGACUGUGUCGCUUUUUUUUGGAUCUCAACUCUCCGAACGUGAAUCCUUGCCUUCCAGUUGAACCCUUCCUCCAGAUGACAAGUGAAUAUUAGAUUCGUUUGUGCCCUACGAAAGUUUGGUGCUUUGAAACCAGCUUGAGAGACCGGAUGACACAGCGAAGGAAAAUUGGAGGGGCC
rnacentral:lncRNA from 1 species